GGGGGAUUCUGAUCGCUGCGCAAGGGUGUACGAUGGGAGGGUGGCGGCGCGCAGGCGCGAAUGUGAGGGUUGACCUCAGGCGCGUGCGUGCGGUUGAGAGUGGCGCUGUGGGGGCCGUUGGCGUUGGGCGGAGUUGCAGCGUGUGCAGAGCCGUGUGGUGGCGGCGUGGGGUUCGGCUGUGCCUGCCCGGGAGGGAGCCCGGGGGAGGCCGCGCGCUGUGCUGGGCCGUGCUCGGUUCUUUGCUCCUGCUCUUUGCUCCUGCUUCCUGAAGCUCCUCGUCCUCCUUCCCAAGUUGUGUGAAACUACGGUGGUUAACAGACCCGACCCUGUUCUCCCCGCGCUGCCCUGACCUGCAGCCCAGGGGCGGCCCGGCACAGCUGCCUGCAGCCGUAGCAGUGUCCCCAGAUCACGAAUGCCACCGAGGCAGGGAGCGGUGCCACGGCGCAGCUCCGGCAGCUCGCGUGCCCCAGCAGCUGGCCGUACCCAGCACGAGCGUCUUCUGGCUGCUCGGUGCUCGUGGUGCUCAAAUGAACUGGCAGCGUUUCGUGCCAAACAACACAAAUUUGACAUUUGGGCCUGUUAACGUUUGCUGCUCUCUUGGAAUACGCGCAGAAGUGUUUUCUGAUAAGGCUUGGUGUUGAAAAGGUGAGCAAACCUGAUGUUGAGCAUCCGUGAGCACUGCGAGCACACCUGUGAGCUACAAAGCACGUUCUGCAGUCAGUGGCAGCCCCGUGUCUUGCAGCAAGGAGUGCAGUGUGUGUGUGCGGGAACAAAGCCCCAGAGGAGCCAUGCAGUGUCUGCACCUCUCCAAGGCAAGUGAUGAUAGGGAAACGUUGCUCAAAUAGGCUUGCUCAGCUGUCCUUAUCCCAAAAAGAGGCAGAGGAGAGUCUUUAGCUUUCUUUAUUUGAAUAAAGGGAGACUCUCCUGGGGGCGUUUCCCUGUGGGGUGUCUCGCGUUAUCGGAGGACACGGCCUCCUUUUUAUCCCUAUCUCCUGGCUAUGUGGUCCCCCUUCCUUCCCUCACUGGCUGAACUGCUCGGAGGUUACAGACUUCCCAUCCACCUAAUACAUGUUUCCCUUACAUGUAACCCCCCUCCGUAUCAUGCCUUUCAUACGUAAUUAACUCCAAGUGUAUGCUGCCCAGGGCAGGUAAGUUAAUAUUAAUUAGCCUAUUAAGCCUGCACAGUGAAGUUCAUAAGUUGUCGAUCAACCUUUGGAACUGAAGCCUUACAAUUCUAGAAUCUGGAGCUCUGAUCUGCAGAGUUCUAAAAGAUCCAUCAGUAUUGCUGAAUGGCUGGAGAAAGCACUGAAAUACCCAAUCUGGGUACCUGGUAAAGGUGGACUGGGAGUGACUUGAUUACAGUAUGUAAAUAAUUCGAAAGGAAAACGAUAUGAAGUACUCAAAACCUAAAAGCAUAGAGAGGUCCAGUUGAUUGAAAGCGAAAGGUGCUCAGAAUAAUGUCAGAAAAUUCAGUAAAUAAAGGUGAUUUACUGGAAACUCUCUUGCUAUGGCAUAUGUUUUUUCUCUUGUUUUCUUCAAAUCAGGAUAAUGCCUUUUUAGAAGCUCCUUCACCACAUGGUAUCACUUAAGCAUGUGAUUCUACAGGUAAGAAAGCAAUCCAGGACUUGAAACCACCAAUCUUUAACUCUCAUAAAUUGGAGAUUGAAAUUAGUUAUGUUCUUAAAAUUGACUUGUCUUUGCCUUGGACUACAGAUAUCUUUCUGUUCUUGACAAAAUGAGGUCUUUUAUACUACACAGAGGAGAAACAAUAUAAUAGAGACUUCGUGCUAUCUUAGAGAUUACAGUUCUCCAUCCAUAUGUUUUAUAGUUCAUGAGAUGGUCGGUGUUUGGAGAGUUAUCUAUUAGCUCUACGUAAAAUAAUAUACAUCCAGUUGCCAAGAUUCCGUUCUUUCUGUAUUUGUUAAGAGAUCAGAAGCAGUUCACACGUGUUUGUGCCACAUCUGGGCAUUUCUAACUGUACUCAGCACUUUCAUAGUUGGGCAGGAGAACUUCCUCUAUCCUCGGGUUUGCUGAGCUGUGCCUAUGUUUGCUGGGAGAUGUUUCCAUCAAGCGGCUGACGUACAGACGAGCUUUUGGGCUGUCUCUGGCGGCUGUAGUCCAGUAGGUGGUGCUGCUGCUGCACACACGUGGCGAGCCCGAGUAGCGAGCAUCGCAGCAAACUUGUACUGUCCGACCAAAAUUACACCUCUUUUGACAUUAUUUCUAUAAUUGGAACUGAUAGCAACAUCUAUCUGAACUUGUUUUCGAAGACAUCUGGAUCUACCCAGUCUUUUGAUGCGUGCGUUCACUCAUGUUAAAUCCUGAAGCAGUAAAGGGUGAGACGGGAGGUGAGAGCUGAGUGCUCAGCGGGCAGUAAUGCAGCAGAAACAAUUAUACCCGAAGGCUUAACGUCCUUGUUGUUCAGCUUUAUGUGGACACACUGCUGUGCUCAGCACAGGGACCUCAUCACUGGUAAAAAUGUGGCUUUGGCAAACAAAACAGCCUUUGUCACAGAAAGUGAAAUCUAAAUGUAGACCCCAGUGGAGAUGCUGGAAGCUGUGACCCUUUCCUGGCAGGUACUGUCCUGGUCAGAGGGCAGUCUGUCCGGCUGGACUGUUGGUGGGCAAUUCCUUGGGAUCAAAGUUCCAAGUAUCUACUGAUGCUUCAAUUGCAAGCAUUGUUUUCCUGGAGAUAUUUUUGUUUUCCUUUUAGUUGAACUGUGCCUCUGAGCAAACCUUGCUGUUUUUAUUUAUUUUAUUUUUUGUGGUUGUUAUUGGUUAUUCUAUUUUGCUUUCUGUUUAUUGGUAUAACUUUGUUAUCGUAGGCAGAGCUAUCCAGUUGGUCCACAGAUGCAGUUAUGUGAUAUUUGCUAUUGCAAGGCAUCGUUUUUGUUGCUCCUGCAAAGUUUGGGCUGGAUUGUUUUUUUUCUGCCCUGGCAGGACUUUGGAAACCUUCAGCAGCUUCAGCUUACAUAACUGAAUUACAGAGAAAAUGCUGGCAGGCUGGGCAUGAGAUUACAAGUCAGCAGGUUGAGAGUUCCCAGUCUCUCUACGUUCUUAAUUGUGGACUUGAAAUUUCAUACACAAAUUCUUGUUUUAAGGAUGGUUUGGCUCUUGUUGGCUUGUUUGUUUGUUUGUUUUUGCUGUUACACACUCCUGAAACUUGGCCUAAUUAUUGGUGUUUGAAAUACCUGUUCUUACAGGAGUUUGUUUGUGAAGUGAAUUAGGUACGUAUCCUCAGCUCUGAGCAUAAUUAAACUCUCUAUAACCCGGGUACCCAACCUGAGAUAUGGUGCUAAGCAGAGAAACUGAGAGUUCUGACAUGUUCUGUACUCUGAAUGAUUACAGUAAUUAUGCCCCAUCAGUGAAAAGGCCCAGUGACUCAAAGUGAGGGGGAGAGGUGAAUCAGAAUCGAAUGAGGAUUAAGAGACAGGGCGGAGCAUCGUGGAGAUAAGAAGAAAAGGUCAGUAUUAGGGAGAACCGACAGAAAGCCUGCAUCCAUCAGGGCAUCACCUGCUCCAGAAGAGCCUGAGGUUCUGGGCUUUCUGUCCACCUGCUGUUGGCAGCUUUGUGAAGCCUGACAGAACAGUGGCUCCCGUAGGAAAUCACAGCCUGCCGGCGUGCAGCUGGUCUGUUCCACGGGUCUGCAUCAGGCCUACACAGCAGGCAGACUGUCAAGUGGUUCUUCAGCUCAACGUGUGCCUCCGGUAUGGAGGAAUACACCACGUCAAGGCGUGACUUCUCUCUGCAAGGCACUCUACCAUCUGUGUCAGUGUCACUGUCAGUGCCGGCUGCCUGGGGCAUUCAGCAGGCUGCAGGAGAUGCUGGUUCUGCAGCUCGGGGUGCUGGGAAGGCUGUGGCCAAGAUUACCUCUGUUCACACGAGGUUUGGAUGACAGCAAAGCUGAGAAGAUGAUGGGAGGCUGGAAAUAGGGACCAAGGGCCAGCGCAGUGGGUAGAAGAGCCUGGGAGGAUUAGAGGAGCCUGAAGCAGUGAGCCAGCAGCGUGGGAGGGUUGGGAAGCAGGAACUCGAGGUUAACAUGGGAACAGCGUAGGGGUACUUUGUGUUUAUGUGUGGGGAGAGACCUGGGAAGCACAGAACAAGGAGUGCUGCUGUGAUGAAUGGAGGGGUUGGUGUGGGGGGAGGAGACAAAAGCCUGGCAGCAGCGGCCGCUCUGCUCGCAGCAGCUCCGCCGUGUGCCAGCAGCCCCUGCUCUGCGCUGGCAUCUGACAGCACUGCCCCCACAGCUGCGUCUGUGCUGCUGCCCCGAGCCCACCCACCCCUGCUGGUGCCAGCGCUGCAAUGGGCUCCUUGGGUGACUUUGCUUUCAUUUCGUUACCCACUUUGCUUUUUAUCUUUUAUUAAUGCAAGCACAUCAUGUUGUGAGAAUUAGUAUGAAGCAAGCACCUGGAAUCCCAGCAUGAACCUGGCUUACGUGUCUGUAGUUUGACCACUUCUGCUUGUGUGUUAGGCUAUGGUCUCUAAUUAUAAUAUCAAAUGCCUUCAUCCUCUUCCUCUUAAUCUCUGUUCUGUUCAGUACACAGGAUUUACAGCAGGCGAGGAUGCGUAGUUAGAAUAGUAAAAAAGAUUGUAGCUUUUAAGUUCUGCUUCUCUUUUUGUUGCAUUUUAAAGGAAAGUAAGAUGAGAGAAAAGAAAAUGAGGUUUGCAAGAGGGCAACAGUGCACCACUAUAGAGAUCUGACUUUAGUUUCCUGUGUGGGAAUAUCUGUGCUGUGUGAACGAUGUGGACUUGUGUAUGGAAAAAAGAAAGCUGAGAGUGUAAACGUAGGGCAAAUUCCACCAUGGGACAUGACACAGGAAACUGGCUGAAGGAACUCAGAUUCAGCUGGAGAUGCUUCUGCUGCCAGUGGGGCACGAUUGGAUCGCCUUCGGGAGCUCUGUACUUUCCUAGUUAUGAAGGAUCAUAACACCUUGACCUGCAACAGUUACCACUCCUGAUCAGUGUUCCUUAGGCCAUAUUGGGUAGUUGUUCUGAGACACGCUGGGUGGUUGUUUUGGGUCAUCAAAAACAGAUUGAAGUAACUUGAGACAGGAUAAUCUAUUUGUAAAGGGAGUACUGUUUAUUUGAUGUCUUUUCUAAAGUUAAUGAGAUCAGAACUUUAAUUAGUCCCUCAGACACCUUUGGUUAUUUGUGUCUCUAUUUCUAUGCCCUCCAGUAGAAAAAGGGAUGAUAAAGGUACAUUAUUUUAUGGAAAUUAAUGUUUAAAGAAUGCUAAGGUGCAAUACUGAUGAGUAUCAAUGAAAGGCAGUAAGAAAAGGAAGAAGUCUCUCUUUAAAAUAGAACUUGAGGAGUCCUUAGCAAAGACUUUAUCUGAAAGAAGAGGUGGAAAUGUUGAAGUUACUCAGGCAAGUUCUGCUGACACUGAGCCAGGUUGUGAGCUGAAUGAAAGACUACUGAAGCCUACUUUGUCAUGCCGUGUUUUACUUCCAUGCUGUGAGCCUUCAAGUUGCCCAUAGUCAACACUUCUAGGGGUGAACUAUGCUAGGGUUAUUUUUGCUGUUUACACUGCACGUGAACCUCUAGAGAAACGUUGGCUCUUCUAUAGUAGCUGCAGAAUUCACAUGGACCCACGUUCUUUCAUCACCAGCAUAAACAUGUAUGGUCUACAUAAAAUGCCAAAUAUGCACAUCCCUGUUCUGUCAUUCCUUUUACUGACAGACUUUGAGACACAUUCUCCGAAGUGAGAGAAUUCCUGAAGUAUGCGUACAGCGGCAAGAUGUGGCAACAGCCCAUCUUGUUGCAAGAAUGGACUUGUUAAGUAUUCCCUUCUACAUCGUGUUAGUCACUACUUGAGCCGCAAGACUGCUUUCACAUGGUUUAACAUCCUGUUCUUGGUAAUGUUGUCUUACACCUGAUGCAAUGCUUAGGGAAGCUGAAAUUCCUGCAGAUGUUUCCUCUGAAAAUGAAACUGAAAUUUCUCUUAUAGUAAUUGUUGUGCAUGUCAAUGCAGCUGUCUCCAAACAAAGUCGGUUUGGAUUCUUGGCAAGCAAAUAUCAUUAUUUAGAGGCCAAUAAUGAAAGGAAGGUGUCUCACUUGAGCAGUUCAAGCUCUCUUUAUCAAUAUUUCCAGCUAUACGUCGCCUGAAGGAGAAAAGCAUGCAGAGCUACUAGUUGAUAUUUGUUCAAGUGCUAACUUUCACAUUAAAAUGUUGUAAUAUCUAUCCUAAUACAAUGGGGAAACCAAGAUGGUGGGUUAUCAGGAGCAUACUAAGAUACAGCAGCAUCUGUGCAAGCUUAACUAAAUGAUUAUUGUUUACAUAAAGGCAUCAACACGUGUAGGCACUGGGAUAAUUGUUAUUCACUGUGUAUUGAGCAAAAGGAUAGGAACUUCUUUGGUUGCUUUUUUAAAAUGUUACUUUCAAGGUUUUCUCUCACGGGUGCUAUUGACAGCCCUCACUUACAAAGGAAAUGAAUGUGGAGUUGAUUUGUUAUGCAGUUUCAUAUGCCGUAUUUGUUUCAUGCAGGUCUGGAUUCCCCAUGCUACGCUUCUUUAGGGAGAGAACUCAGCUCUUCAGCGUGAUUAUAGACCCAAAGUCUUUCCAGAGCUUCAGGGCUGCAGGAGGUUUUGCAGCUUGGCUUGGUACUUGGUUGAUUUAGGGAUGAGUGGUGGAUUCCAAUGAGGUUCCUUGCAAUGGGGAUGUUUGUCCUCUUCUUGGUCAAGGCUACCAGCAUGAUUUGGUGAGAGGGUAAAACACGUUGUUUGAUGGCAGUGGACCCUGAACUAUUGCCAGCAGAGGGAGCUCAAAAUGAAAAGCAGCUGUUGUCACUGGGGACAACAUGACAGCAAUUAUGGUCAGCGACCAUUACAAUGGGCAUUAUCACUUGUAAUAAUUUUCUUGUUAUAUUCAUGGGUUUUUUUUUUCCAAGGUAAAUAACUCUUGAGCUGACAGAGGAAAUGGUUGUAUCCAGCAGUGGGCAAAGCGCUGUCAGAAGUUCAAACACAUCGCCACUGGAGCAAAUCUGAGUUUAUUUCUGCAGAAGUUCCCAGAUCUCUGCUACCACCCUUAGCAUGCCACGCUAAUGGAAGGUGUCCCUGCCAAGAUGGGGUUCCAGCUGGAUCAGUUUUGGAAGACAGUACUUCCAAGCCUCCGUGUCCUGCCAUGAGUCUGCACACCACGCUGACAUCUUGCUUGUUUAUUCUUCUGCCUCCACCACUCAACAGCAGUUGCUGCAUUCACAGCAUUCCUCUUUUCAGCCAUGAUUUGUUACAAGAAAGAAAAGCUGAAGUUCUUCAGCUGGAGAGCUCCGUAUGUCUGCGUCAGUCAGCGGAGUGACUCAGUGUUGUGAUGCUGAUGUAGGUCUGACUGGAUUGGAAGCCUAAAUAUAUAUAACAGAGAAAAACUCGGCAUAGCUUCGUUUGAGAGAAAUGCUGUGUAGGAGGGGCUCUGGGUCUUCUCCAACGAAGACAGGUUAUAACAGAUGGGCUUUUUACCUAACCUGAGCGAGCCACUGUACUGACAGUGACUGGAGGUAUUGCAUCUACCUCAUCAUUCCUCUUGCAUCUGUCCCACCAAGGACAUGUGGCUCUGCAGUCCCUUGGCCUCCUCCUUUUGCCCUGGAGUGGGCUUGGGUGGCAAGAAAGCUGUGUGGCACCUCCAAGCCAUGCCCAUGGGAAUGGAAAGCUGCUAUUCGAUCAUCGUUUGGAGGGAUGCAUCUUACCCAACCAGCUGAAUGUGCAGUUGGAAUAGGUUAAUGGACAUGGGCAACGCAGCCCUUCUUGAAGAGCUCCUCAUUCCCAUCCUGGGGCAUCUGAGUUCCUGAAGUGGGCACAGUGUUUACAGAGUCGGCAAUGGGAUGUGCAGCUUCGCAUCAUCUUAAGGCAGAUCAAUGCGUCGCCUGCCUUGCCCUGCUCUCACCAGUAGAGAUGUGGUAGCCCAUUGGUCUUCCUGCUAUUGCUGUGAUAAGAAGCCCCCAAAAUGUUUCUGUUGCAGCCAUCAUGUCAAUGCAGGCCUUGAUGCAAUUGAGCACUGAAGAUACUUGGCCCUCCUUGUAACACAGCUUUACUUUGGUCCUGCGUGGUUUAAGGCACCAGACUCUCACUGGAGUUUACCUAAGGACUUGGGAUCUCACCAUUUUUAGUGGUAUAUGGAUACUUCAAACAAAGCAUCGGAGAAUUUUUAGUGUUCUUACUUAAAGAAAACCUGAGGUCAGAAACCGAGCUUUCUCAGGAAAUCUGUGGUCAGAGCAGGAAAGAGGACCCAGGUGUCCCGAGCUCUUAACGUUCAGCCUUUCCUCUCCUGCCCCCAAGCUGCCUGAGAGCAUGUUUGGAAGGAUGCCUGCUUGCUCAGAUACGGUGCAGACCUUCCUUCUUCUCUCGUCACAGCUGUGAACUUCUAGGAGGUCCUUAUAUGCUCAGCCGGAACACGUCUGAGUACGUAGACGAAACGUCAGGACCAGGACUGAGUGUGUGGCACUGAGAAGAGAAAUCCCAUCUGUGCUGUGGAGCAGGAGCUUGGUUUUGGUUGUGAUUUCUCCCUACCAGCUGGUCUGAGUAAUUACAUAAUGUAUCGAGCCAAGACAUCCUGCUUUAUGCAACAAGUAAAUUCAUUUACAACCAUCUUUUAAAGCAAAGAAGAUAUACGCUGCAUGUCCUCCUUUAACUGCACUACUUUUAAGAGUGCAAUCAACAAGCUAUUCAUUAGCUGGCUAGCAUAACAGUCUCAGAGGAGGCUGUGCCUGUUUUUCUUCUGCCCAGGACCUGCUCUGGUGUCAGGAGGUGAUGCAGUAGGUGCCUGCUGUGGCACAUGACCUUUCCCAAGGUGUGAACAGAGCUUUCUUGGUUGCCUCACACUCCUUACAGGAACCGCGGGGUGAGUGCCUGGGAACAGAUCGCUUUCCUGGUUGCAUCUGUGCUGUUUCUCUCCAUGUGGACUGGGAAAUGUGUAUGGGGCAGGCUCCGUACAGGGGAAUAGCAGGGCAUUGCUGUAGGUACUAACAUUGGCAAUAGGGAAAGCUGGCACUGUAUCACUGCUCUCUUCUUGGAUCCAAGACAAGGUCUCACUGUAAGGUACAAAGGAAUAAGGCCAACCACAGCCACUGUCAGCUCUGCUUCCCCACAGACGUGGUAUGUUAUGAAGACAAAAGCCCGGGAAGCAAGAACUCCACCAGAGAGGGAACAGGUGGAGGAAACGUGAAAUACAUCCCAGCAAAUCCAUUAUGGACAGUAUUAGCACUUCAUCUGCAACGCAUGACAUCGUAUCACUGUUCCAGCUGCCGAAUCUUUGAAGUGCCUUGUGAAACUUGUUCAGAACUCUGCAAGAGGAUUUAGCUGCUGAAGCUCCCCGACCUGUUUCAGCAGGGGGCUGUGGGCAGUUGGCAGUUAUUGGCAGGACGAGGCUGAGGAGCUAAUGCUGGUGCUAGCAGGAAGGAGGCAGGCUGACAUCGUGGGUUAGGACUCCUAGGAAGUAUUAGUAAAGAAUAGCCCAUUUGUCCUUUUCCCUGCAAAACAAAAAGCAAGCAUGCAAAUCAACAUGCACACACACCUGUGGGUGAUUGACGUGUUGGGCUGUUAUUGCCUUAUCCCUUGCACCUGCUUGCAUAGCUGUGACACCCAGAUUUGACUCUUGGGGAUCUCACGUGCUGUGAAGACACAUCUUACGUUGGGUGGUAUCCUCGAAAAUCCCUGUGCUAAGCAGAGCAAGUGCAAAGUUUACAGAUGCCCAUCGUCUGCUCAUUGACUCUCAGCAUCCCAAACGCCUCAGAGCUGUUUGUGAGUGCCCACGGAUUGAUGGCUGAAUGACUGAACACGCAGCACCACGAGGGCUGACAGUGCCCCACUCUUGGCACUGACCAACGCAGCUGUACCCAGCUCCAGUGAGUCACCUCAGUAAGCACUGUGCUCCCGCUGCUUGCCGGGACCACGGGACCCAAAGGCCACCAGCCCGGUUUCGGUGCCCUGGUUUUCUUUGCUUGCCCGGCGGUUCCGCCCCACGCCCCACCCCGCAGCGGCGUUAAUGAUGGGGUAGGGAUUGCUCUGGGCUGGCGGGAGGUGUGGGUCACUCUGCCAGGGCAGUGAGCCGCGGUCAGUGGGACGCCGUGACACAGUGCCCCGAGCUGCAGCCAUCGGGGCUGGGCCAUGCUGCCCCAGGCAGUCCAGCCGGGGGAAGGUGCCCUCAGAGGGCCAGCCAGUAGGUGAUUGGGAUCAGUUUCCCCGUGAUGAGACUGUUUUCUUCUCCCAAACUCUGCAGCUGGGUGCAGCGCUGCUCAGCUCCGUGGCAGCCCCAGCCCUUCCCUGGCCCAGGGAUCACUGCCAAAGCCCAGCACAGGGCAACCACUGAGCUCCUCUUUUCCGUUUGAAAGCUUAUAUAAAAAAUGAUGAUAAGCUAAAUCUAGAUCUAUGCAGCAAUUAUGUGGGAUGCCAGACCUUGCACCUGUAGCAUAAUACAUAACAGAGCCAGCUAACUGCCUUGUCUAAUGAUUGCUCUGAACAGCAUACAAAUCACAUUAUGGGGGGUGAGCUGAGAGCCAUUUUUCGGCCGAAGCUGAUGAGCUUGCAAAGACUUUCUUUGCCCCAUUCUCUCAGACUGCAGGUUUGUCCUCUUCUCCUUGGAAUCCUUCCUGUUAUUUUUCCACCUUCCUGUCACAGGAUGCAACGUUCAUCACGAUAAUAGAUCAAACUUUGAGUGGAAAAACUCCGCUUUACAGUUGUCUUUAGGAUUUCCCAGUUUCAUUUCCUGCAACCCAUAAUGAGCAGGUGGGGCAUUUUCACAGGAUGCUCGGGUGGGCAAGAGAUGCCUAUAAACAUUAUCCCACCUUAACCUCUCAGCUGUCACCUUGAGGUGGGACAGGCCAUCUUCUGAGGUAUCCUAGCUUAGAAGCUUGGAUAACUGGAGAAGACCAGCUCCUGAAUACCAGUCGGGCAAUGGCAGGAGAUGACUCCCACUCUCAUGAUGGAGAAGACAACUCCCACUCUCUCUGGGAACUUAAAAUGUCCGUAUUGAUUUCUUAACCUGAAAUGUGCUUUGGAAACCCUGUCUGGAGAGCCUGCUUUGUCUCCCUGCACCUAAAUACUUUUGAAGCGUGGUCAGAGAUGCUCCCAACAUGUGCUCUGGAUUCUCUGGUGAGAGACACAGGAGGAAGUUUUGAGGUGGAAGAGCAGCAUCGGUGUCAAUUUGUUUGGAAGGAUUUUUGUGGACUGGACUUCUGUGGCUUUGCUUGCUUCCUGUUACUCUUAUGUUAUCAGCAUGAAAAUAUUAAAUUAGGUGACCAAUGUAGCCAGUAAGGCUGGCCACAGCUAUUAUAUAACGUCUGGUUGCUGUAAACAUCUCCAUGAUCGUUUCUUUGAUUGCAGUGCAAACAUAUCCUGUGCACAAUAUGUGGGUUACCAGGUAGAGUUAUGUCAUGACUCAGGAUGAGCCAAUAUCAUAAGCAAACGUUAAUGAAGGGUGGGAUUUUCAUUAGUUUCCCCGUAUUGACCUAUUUCACUUCCUAUCCAAGGCAGCAGCUGAAAAGAGCUGGCCUAAAUGGAUCAGUGUUCUGCAGCCCAAAAUCGUGAUGCAGGGCUGGAGGGAGCCCCGUUCUACCCAGGGUGGCUGUUCUCAUCUGACAUUAUGACAAAUAGUCCUAGGCUCCUUCUGUAUUAAAAAUAAAAGCCUUGAACUUGCAUAUUUCCUUAUGGAAAAAAAAAAAAAUAGCUAUCUUGGGAUCCUGCUUAUACAACUGGAACAACUUUUGUUCUCCACCCCACCUAAAGACAAGCAAAAGGCUUUUAUGUUCUCUAGGUUAUUAAUGGACGGGGCUUCCUCUGCUGAGAGGAUGUUUGGAGCACUGCUAAAAUCUCUGCUCAGGUCCCUUGAAUCAGGACAAGUGAUCUUACAUCACCUUCCUGAGCUAAUUGCCAGCCUCUAAAAGACACAUUUUUAGUAACGCCUUUUGCCAAAUUAUCCUCUGCCUUUGCCUGCUUCAUCAUAGCACUUUUUUACAGGUAAAGAGCUCUCUGCUCUCCAAGGAGAAUUAAGUGGCUUUGUGACAAUUUAAAAAGGGGGGGGACAUUAAUUUGUGCUCCCUGUUCUACCUUCCAUGUGACAAAGAAAAGCAGUGGGGCAGUUUGUGGGGACAGGUGCCCAGAAGGAGGUGGUGUGAGAUGAUCUAACCCAUCAAAUCAAAGGGAAGUUGGACGAAGGAGGGACUGGCUCAGAGACAGAUAAAAAUCAUCCCAAACUGAAGGCAGAUUCGGCAACAAAGCACUGGCCUGACAGCCAGUCCACCCUCUCUGCAAACAUUAUGCAGCAGGUAACAGAGCUAUGCUCAUGAAUCAUUGCCUUGUUUAUUUUAAGAAAACCAACAAAUAUCUGACAGCAGUGAUGGAGUGACUGAGCUUGCCUGCUGCAUCCCGGGAAAGCCCUGCACAGCAGGGAGAGGGGAACAGCACCCACGGCCUGCAGUGCCACGCGAGCUCUGGCAGGUGGGUUUUUUAGUUUCUGUGCAACUGAGAAGCAGAAGUGGUUUGGAUUUUCCUACAUUGAAGCCUUCCCGUCUCUGUUCUCAUUUCAUGUGUAAUUAAGGGAUUUUUUAAAGAAAGUACACCAGAGAAACCCUAACUGAGCCCUGCUGUGCUUAACACUGGGUUGACCCCAAGCGAUGCUGUGGAUGAAGAAACAUUUUUCCAUCUGCCUUUUCUCUGCUCACAUAGCAGUCUUUGUCUUUCUGCUUUGGCAUGUGGGCUAAGGGGAGCUGAAAGUGCCCCACGUAGCUGCCACCCAGGGGGAAGCGUGGCUGUGUGCCAGCUGUGGGCUGCCUGGGCCGGGGUCACAGGGCUGCAGUGUGAGGGCUGAGCUGGCUGAGCGUGUUCUGCAAGAGGCGGAUGCUCACUGGGGUUUGCUGGAGGGUAAGGUAGAGCUUUGUAUUGUGAAUGCACUGGGAAUCCUGGCCUACGCCACCCAGCUUGUGGAGGAUGCUGAAUCCGUCCUACACAGGAGUUACAAACUACCACUGGCUUUAUCGCCGCCAGCUCCUCACGGUGUGAUGCAAAGUCAUCUUGGCGACAGCCCAGAAUAUUCUUCACAUUCACGUAUAACCACUCCACCACCCCUUUGGAUUCUCCACUGCUACGUACAAGACUUCUGCAGAGCAUCCUGGGUUGUAAAAGCCUUAAGACGGAAAUGGUCUUUCGGAUCGGUGUUUAUCCAGCACCUGCCUUCCUGCCAGUCUGGCCAAAGACUGGACUCCCUUCAUAUUUCCACAUCAGAGAAAGGUUAAUCAUAACAACCCUCGGCCUCUCGCGUGUCUGGAUGAUGAAUCCUUCCCACACCUCUGUAGGACCAGUGCAUGUAGGAGACCAGUCUUGGGGUGUGAUGCCACAGUGCCCCAGUACUGAAAGUUCACAGGCUGAGAACUCUGAGAAACACCGCCCCUUUGCACAGGUAGGGAAACUGAUACACCGGGAGGGAAGAAGACCACGUGCAUAUGACCAGCUGGACAGAACUGCACUGGUCAGCCCUCUGUGCUCCAACCAGGUGCCUGGCUGCCCUGCAGCUCCCCAGCAUGGGGUCAUAAUGACAGCUGUGCCAUGCCACGCCAUGCCAUCCCAACCCCAGCAAGCAGCCAGAGGCUCUUCAUCCCAGCACACUGCUCUUGUGCAAAUGAAGCAGUAGCACAAUCAGAAGGAGCAGAAGGGCCUGCUUAAUCUGCUGUGACAGAGGCCCACCCAACAGGGCUUGGCCCCAGCUGGGAGCCCAGUGAUAAAUGCUCAGCCUUCACACUGCCUGUCCGUAACUGCAGCCAGUAGCUCCUUGAAACGUGCAACUUGCCAAAGUGGGUUAACAGGAACGGUGUAAUAGGAGGGAUUAACGUCUGGCUAUGAUCCUGCCAUCUGCUAUUUCCUACACCUCCUCCUGGUGCACGUCAGCACCAAGAGAAGCAGCACUGACCUGUAGGAGAACUGAGCUGGCUACACAGGGAUG